rnacentral:tRNA from 1 species
GGGCCCAUAGCUCACCUGGUAGAGCGCCACAUUUGCAAUGUGGAGGUAACCGGUUCGAGUCCGGUUGGGUCCACCA